GGGGUGCUCGAGUGGCGAACGGGUGAGUAACACGUGAGUAACCUGCCCUUUACUUUGGGAUAACUUCAGGAAACUGGGGCUAAUACCGGAUAGGAGCUCCUGCUGCAUGGUGGGGGUUGGAAAGUUUCGGCGGUUGGGGAUGGACUCGCGGCUUAUCAGCUUGUUGGUGGGGUAGUGGCUUACCAAGGCUUUGACGGGUAGCCGGCCUGAGAGGGUGACCGGCCACAUUGGGACUGAGAUACGGCCCAG
rnacentral:rRNA from 1 species